AUACGUAGGGGGCAAGCGUUAUCCGGAUUCAUUGGGCGUAAAGCGCGCGUAGGCGGUCUGUUAGGUCGGGAGUUAAAUUCCGGGGCUCAACCCCGGCCCGCUCCCGAUACCGGCAGACUUGAGUUUGGUAGGGGAAGGUGGAAUUCCCAGUGGAGCGGUGGAAUGCGCAGAUAUUGGGAAGAACACCGGUGGCGAAGGCGGCCUUCUGGGCCAUAACUGACGCUGAGGCGCGAAAGCUAGGGGAGCAAACAGGAUUAGAUACCCUGGUGGUCCUAGCCGUAAACGAUGGACACUAGGUGUGGGGGGAUGAACCUUCCGUGCCGCAGCUAACGCAUUAAGUGUCCCGCCUGGGGAGUACGGCCGCAAGGCUAGAACUCAAAGGAAUUGACGGGG
rnacentral:rRNA from 1 species